GACGAACGCUGGCGGCGUGCUUAACACAUGCAAGUCGAACGGAAAGGCCCUGCUUUUGUUGGGUGCUCGAGUGGCGAACGGGUGAGUAACACGUGAGUAACCUGCCCUUGACUUUGGGAUAACUUCAGGAAACUGGGGCUAAUACCGGAUAGGAGCUCCUGCUGCAUGGUGGGGGUUGGAAAGUUUCGGCGGUUGGGGAUGGACUCGCGGCUUAUCAGCUUGUUGGUGGGGUAGUGGCUUACCAAGGCUUUGACGGGUAGCCGGCCUGAGAGGGUGACCGGCCACAUUGGGACGGAGAUACGGCCCAGACUCCUACGGGAGGCAGCAGUGGGGAAUAUUGCACAAUGGGCGGAGGCCUGAUGCAGCAACGCCGCGUGCGGGAUGACGGCCUUCGGGUUGUAAACCGCUUUCGCCUGUGACGAAGCGUGAGUGACGGUAGUGGGUAAAGAAGCACCGGCUAACUACGUG
rnacentral:rRNA from 1 species